rnacentral:rRNA from 1 species
AAUAGAUACCCAGGUAGUCCUAGCCGUAAACUAUGCAAACUAGGUAUCAGAAGCAUCGACCCUUCUUGUACCGAAGCUAACGCGUUAAGUUUGCCGCCUGGGUAGUACGGUCGCAAGACUAAAACUCAAAGGAAUUGGCGGGGGUUCGCACAAGCGGUGGAACAUGUGGUUUAAUUCGACAAUAAGCGGAGCACCUUACCAAGGUUUGACAUCUACGGAAUCCCCUAGAAAUAGGGGAGUGCCUUCGGGAGCCGUAAGACAGGUGUUGCACGGUCGUCGUCGGCUCGUGCUGUGAAGUGUUCUGUUCAGUCAGGAAACGAGCGCAACCCUUAUCGUCUGUUGAAUUUCUCAGGCGAGACUGCCCCUGUAAAGGGGAGGAAGGUGGGGAUGACGUCAGAUCAGCGUGGCCCUUAUACCUUGGGCAACACACGUGUUACAAUGGCGAUUACAGCGGGUUGCAAUACCGUGAGGUGGAGCUAAUCCCUAAAAUCGUCCCAGUUCGGAUUGAAGUCUGAAACUCGACUUCAUGAAGCCGGAAUCGCUAGUAACCGCGU